rnacentral:misc_RNA from 1 species
ACCCACAACGCAGAGCAGCAGUAUCUUUCUUGUGUCACUUCACACACACACACACAAAGACGCUAUUCGUUUCCUUUACUCUUGUUUUGGUUUUGUGGUGGUGGUUCUUGUGGAUACGUCUGCGCCCUCCUUUUUUGUUGUUGUUUAUUUGGCUCUCUUGUCUCCACCCCUUUCUUUCGAUCGUAUCACCGACGUAUCGUGUUGCUUUCGUUUUAUCCGACACAGUCGGUUAUACAUAUACGUAUAUACACUCCUUUGGGGUGUUUCCAGUCUUCCGGUGUUUGUAGUCAGUGAUAGGAUACAUUGCCGUUGCUAGGUUUCCAGUCCAAACCGAAAGAACACACACACGCACAAGCAUAUCCCGCUCUCACACCUUCCUUCUCUCUGCGACUUACUUGGCUGGCGAACAUCCUUCCGCUGCACUGGACCGUACAUGCAAUGGUACCUCCUGCGAAGAUGUUCGACAGUUUCAAGCACACCUUCAGUCAAACCAAGUACGUCUCCCACCGGGAGGCGUGCGGGUUGCACGUGAUUGAUGAGGUUAAGCGCUUCCGCGCGCUGGUGUGCGUGCUGUUCUGCAGCAUCUGCGUCUCGCUUGUGUUCGCCUUCGACCUCUUCAGUGAGGAGUUCCAAAGCCGCUUCCAUCUCUCCGAUGGUGAUCUCUCCACGAUCAGCACGGUCGGUGUCGUGUUCUGCUACUUUGUCAUUCCGUAUGGUGUGCUGUACGAUCAUAUCGGCCCCCUGCCACUGCUUGUGAUUGCCGGUAUGAUGGGGUUCAUCGGCUGCCUUGGCCUCGGGCUCGUCUUCGACGGAAAAAUCAAGGGCAACACCGUGACCAUCUCCAUCUUCUACGCCUUCAUGAACACGUGCAGUGGUCUCUUCGACGCCGCGUCGAUUGUCACGCUGGUGGAGCUGUUCCCACGAAACCGUGGUCCUGUCAUCGGGCUGGCCAAGGUGAUGACGGGUCUGGGCAGCUCCGUCAUCUCCUCCAUCAAUCGCGGCUUCUUCUCGAACAACAUCAGCGGCUUCAUCUACCUCAUCAUGGUCCUCACGGUGGUUGUCGCGCUGAUGGCGAUGCUUCUCAUUGCACUGCCUCCGUAUUUUGUGAACUGGUGGCGCGCCCGCAACAAGACAGAGGAGCAGAUUGCCGCCCUGACGUCGCUGAAGGGCAUCUACGCGAAGAAGUUCGUUCCGUUGCGCCGCAUUGCGUACGGCUACGUCAUCGUGGCCUGCCUCGUCAUUUUCUUUGCCAUCACGGCCCCGAUACUGGCGUACACGAAGGUGUCACGCGGUGGCAAGGCGGUAGUGGGUGGCAUCACGGUGGUGCUGUGCAUGUCCUUCUGGGUGAUGGCGCUGCCGAUUCCCUGGCUGGGCGGUGUGAGCGAGCCGGCGGAGCAGCAGAGCAGCACCUUCGACGACACCGAGGGCAGCAAGCCGAAUGUCCUGACUUCCGUGGAGCCGCUGGAGACCAGCAACAAGCCCCUCAGCACUUCUCCCGUCAGCGACGAUGAUGCGGCGCGCAAGCAGUCUCUUGUUGGCGUCGAGGCCGUCAUCGAGGAUGGUCCGCAGGACCCUCGCUAUGGUGGCACGAUCUGGGAGACGCUCAUGCGCCCUGACAUUUGGCUCAUCCUCAUUGCGUUUGUCUGCCAGGGUGUCCUCGGUACGAUCGUUACGUACAACGGCAGCACCAUCUACGUCGCUCGCACAGGUCGCCCGCGUACCGCGGAGCUGGGCUCUCUCUACACGGCCCUCCUCGGUGUGGGCAGCGCCGUGGGUCGCAUCUCGAUGGGUCUGUUCGAGGCGUACGUGCAGCACCAGGACCCGAAGAACCGCAAGGUGCUUGUGACGAUCGCCCUGCCUGUCGCCCCGAUCAUUGCCACAAUCGCCGGCAUUCUGAUCCUUGUUCUUCCUGGUGACGCUCUCCUCCUUCCGUACAUCCUCGUCUACUUCGAAGAGGGCGUCUUCAACGGCGUGCGCGCGCUCAUCUUCCCCUGCAUCUUCGCUGAUCACCACGGCAUCCUGUACAACAUGAGCUUCUUCACCAACGUCAUUGGCGUCAUCGGCUUCAAUCGCUUCCUCUUCGGCCUCACCGUGGACAAGGAGCGCGAAAAGAUGGGCCACACGGUAGAGCAGGGCUGCACGUCCCAUGCGUGCGUUCAGACACCCAUCAUCGUCGUCACGUGCACGGCAGCCUUUGCGGUGGUGCUGGCGACCAUGGUACACCUUCGCUAUGCUCGCUUCGUGAAGCAGUGCCGCAAGGCUUUGAAAGCAGCUUCGUAGACGCGCUCUAGGAUACACGCGCGAGAGGCUUGCGUAGACAUGGCCGCACUCUGUGGUUUGUAUGUAUGUGUGUGUGUGUUUCACAUAAUGCGGUGGUUUCGGUGUGCUAUCCUGCGUCCAUGCGACUGCUGCUAUUGCGUUACAAGCUCACAGAAGUCUGCAAUGUCUCCCUCCACUCCCCCCCUCACGUAUGCGCGCGCGCCUGCUCGGCCAUUUUCCGGCAUGGGCAAGUUCUUUGCGUACAUUUCUCGAUUGCGUGCAUGAAACGGGUUGUUUCGCAAGUGAUCUAGCCACGCCCGGUUUUGCUUUUCGAUUCUCCAGCAGCUCUCUUGUUCGCUUGGUGGGAGAAGCAAUGACGUAGGCUUGGCAAAAAGACCAGGAGAGCGAGGGGGGCACAAAGCAAGCUGCAUGUGGAAUAGCGCAACAACUUCCUUGGCAGUGCGUACACAAGUCGCAAGAAAGAGCGGUAGAAGGACAGAGAGAGGCAAACGAGUUGCUGUGUGUAUUGAUGCAUCGCCACGGAUGCUGCAUUUUGUUUUUGUUUGAUGUCGUCCCAGUCGCCAUCCUUCAUACACACACAACCUUCAUCUCUCAUCCCCACCCAACGCUCCUUCCGUCUUUGCCGGCGGCGUCAUCGCUCUCCACUCCAG